AUUGAACGCUGGCGGCAGGCCUAACACAUGCAAGUCGAACGAGUGGCGGACGGGUGAGUAAUGUCUUGGAAACUGCCUGAUGGAGGGGGAUAACUACUGGAAACGGUAGCUAAUACCGCAUACCAUCAGAUGUGCCCAGAUGGGAUUAGCUAGUUGGGGUGGUAACGGCUCCACAAGGCGACGAUCCCUAGCUGGUCUGGGAGGAUGACCGGCAAAACUGGAACGGAGACACGGUCAAGACUCCUACGGGAGGCAGCAGUGGGGAAUAUUGCACAAGGGGCGCAAGCCUGAGGCAGACAUGCCGCGUGUAUGAAGAAGGCCUUCGGGUUGUAAAAUACUUUCAGCGGGGAGGCGUUACCCACAGAAGAAGCACCGGCUAACUCCGUGCCAGCAGCCGCGGUAAUAC
rnacentral:rRNA from 1 species